AACGAACGCUGGCGGCGUGCCUAACACAUGCAAGUCGUGCGAGAAAGUUCCUUCGGGAGCGAGUAAAGCGGCGCACGGGUGAGUAACACGUAGGUAACCUGCCCCCCAGUCUGGAACAACUAGAGGAAACUCUAGCUAAUGCCGGAUGAGACCACGAUCCCUUCGGGGGUUGCGGCCAAAGAUGGCCUCUACUUGUAAGCUAUCGCUGAGGGAUGGGCCUGCGGGCCAUUAGCUUGUUGGUGAGGUAACGGCUCACCAAGGCUGUGAUGGCUAGCUGGUCUGAGAGGAUGACCAGCCACACUGGGACUGAGAUACGGCCCAGACUCCUACGGGAGGCAGCAGUGGGGAAUAUUGCGCAAUGGGCGAAAGCCUGACGCAGCGACGCCGCGUGGGUGAUGAAGGCCU
rnacentral:rRNA from 1 species